GACAGAGGUGCCAAGCGUUAGGCGGAAUCACUGGGCUUAAAGCGUGUGUAGGCGGAUGUCUAAGUUCCUUGUGAAAUCCCACGGCUCAACCGUGGAACUGCUUGGUAUACUGGAUGUCUUGAGCCAUCUAGGGGCUACCGGAACAAAUGGUGGAGCGGUGAAAUGCGUAGAUAUCAUUUGGAACGCCAAUGGUGAAAACAGGUAGCUGGGGAUGUGCUGACGCUGAUGCGCGAAAGCGUGGGGAGCAAACGGG
rnacentral:rRNA from 1 species